UAUUCUGUUUGGAGAUUUCGUUGCGAAUAUAUCUAUGAAAGUGUGACUGGUAGUCGUGUGAUGAGUAGAUGCCAGCUGAAGUAGCGUCAUAUUUGAGGAAGAAGGCAUCCUCUUAAACUUCCUAGUGGAAGGACUAUUGUGCAGAAAAUUAAUGUUAGUGUCACCUGCUAUAAUUACAUGUUCAUAUGACGAUUCGAGACCAAAGAGGGCAGUUUCGAAGCAGGCGAACCCACCUACUUUAGGAGGUUUGUUAAGGACACAUAUUAAGCACUUUGUGUUAAGGGAUUUGAUCUCUAUGACCACAUAUUCCUCUUGUAAGGAUAAAUAACAAACUAAGACGGUAGAACAACAUGGACGUGCAAUUAUGUAAUAUAAAUAUAAGUGAAUGUAUUUACGUGUAUAAAUUUGCAAUAUACAAAGAAAUGUAGAUAUACUUGUAGUAGCAUAAGGCGGUUAAAACCCAUUGACUUGCACUCAGUGAGCAAACUACGAGCCCCAAUAUUUCUUCAAAGGCAAAGAGAACAGAUGAAGCGGUAGCCGAGCGUAGAGCCUGCGCCUACCGUCAUGUAUUUUUGAUUUUCAAGUGCUUAAAAAAAAAAAAAAAAAGAUGUUUUUCCUGUUCCUCGGUAAGAGGAGGGACUCGCUUUCUGCUAAUGAACGAAGUGAUGUUAGAUCCGAAGAAAAGAAGAGUGGAUGUGUCGUCCGACCGUGAAGUAUAGAUGAGGUGGCUCGAAGAAGAUGCAGAGAGUGAUAAAAAUGACAUAGGCCUAUUUGAUUCUGAAGAAUUGAUUCAAAUGAAGAUGGAUCGACUAAUGGAAAGCGAUCAUGAUACUGGACAAUCUGCAGAUGAAUACGAUAAUAAGUACUGUGAGUCUAGUAUUUCCUAUUAUCUUAGGAAGAACAGUAAAACAAAAUGGUCUAAGUCUUUUCCUAAAAGAAACGUGAGAACUAGGUCAGAGAAUAUAAUAACUCAUCUACCUGGCCCCAAGAUGCAAGCAUCAGCAGUACUUUCAGAAAGUUCCUAGAUCUUUUCUUAGACAGUAGCGUUUACAAAAUUAUAGUUAACUGCACAAAUAUUUAUGUAAGAAAUUUGAAAAGCAAAUUUCAGAGACAUAGAGAUGCUAGAUUCACUGAUGAGACUGAUAUAAGAGCACUUUUCGGUAUACUCUACCUAAUAGGAACGCUAAGAAGUUCUUGAAAAAACACUGAAUUACGGCGAGGUGCACGUGUUCUACUAGGCAUAAAUUCAACAGUUAACACCACAGUUCCAGAGGUUCCAAAGGACGUUGCUACAAGUGUGGAAGGCAGAAAGACAAGUCAACUAGAAAAUGAUGUCAUAAAUGUAAAAGGUGGAUGU